GUUGAGGCAGCCUGAGGCAACCGGUCCCUGGCAGGCGAGACCGGUUCCCGAACGCGUCUUCGCAAUGAGAGACCGGUCCCGCGCGGGGAGAGACCGGUUCCCGAACGCUGGUUUUUCGGGUUCGCAGCGAGAGACCGGUCCCUGCUGGGGAGUGACCGGUCCCUCUGGGCGAAAACUGCCCAGUUCAGGCUGAUGUAAUAUUGGAUUUUUGAGGGGCCUCUUGGGAUUUUGUUACAUUAGAGGGUCUAUACGACCCCUCCACCCUCUCUACUCCUCAUUUCUCCUCUCUCAACCCUCUCUACACCCUUGAUAGAGAAGAAGAAGAAGAAGGAGAAGGAGAAGAAGGAGGGGAGGAGAAGAGGUUUGGUGCUACUAGUGGACUUGGAGCAUCCUCCUCACCCUCUCAUCUUCCUUGGUGCUUGAAGGCUUGGGCUUGGAGCUCGCAUAGGAAGAGAUCUUCACCCUUGGAGCUAGGAUUGGAGCUUCUAAGGUGGUUUGUUGCCCAUUUCCCUCCUCUAGACCUUAUUUUGAUGGUUUUUGUAGAUGGAACCCUAGAAAUGAGAUUUAGGGUUUGAUUUUGGGCUUUUUGAAUCUAGGGCUUUUGGGGCUAGAUUGAUUGGUUUAGAACCUUCCUUAGGCUUGGUUUGGAAGGGUUCUAGCUCUUUUUUGGAGCUUUGGAAGAGAUUUCUUCUCUUGAGGCGAAUUUUGGCCCUUUUUGCUUCUAAAAUUUAUGUUUGAUCUCAUGGUUGGUCGUAAUGCUCUCGUAUCUCUUCGCUGAUCACUUUUAGGAUAUCUUGAGGCUCGUGGACAACUUUGUUCGGCGAAUCGAGACCCUACGCGACGGUUCGGUGGGUUUGUCCUAGCAUACAUUAUGAGAAAUACUCAUAUUUGGUGUUAAAUGCUUCGUAAAGUUGAAAUUAUUGCAUUUUCAUGUCAAAUGUAUUUAUUAUGAAUUUUAGAAUGCUUAACAUGCAUAGGUUAUGUGUAGUAAAUUUUGGGACCUCUAUAUAGUAGAGAGCAUGCAUGUGUGGCCUAGCAUUCUAGUUGCGAUUUGAAAUUGUAAUCCCUAUUAUGAAAACGAACCUUGCUUUCAUGCAUUCAAACCAUAUACCAGAUGCGACAUUAGGGAUUUUUGAAAGCCUAGAGAGGCUUAGGGAUUUAGAUGAUACGUGAGAUUGGGCCAAUGUCAUGAAGAGGCAUUGGGGCCCGGGGCAUAGUGAGCAUUAAUGUUAAUGUCUUAAUUGGAACAUAAUUAGUUGUGGAGCUUAAGUGUCAUAAAGAGGCACUAAGCAAGUGUGUGUUGGGACUUCACAUUAUGACUUGAACUAGAUCUUUGGGAUACUAGUGACUAUACCAUGUUAGAGACAUGAGGAUUGGGUACUUGAGACCGUGACCUUGCUUGUUUGCCAUUUGUGCUCAUUCGCACAUGCUUGUGAGGGUCGCUCCCCACAAGCCGGCACUCCGGAGUUGGCCUAUGCGAUUUUUGUUCGCUCGUGCGGUAUUGAGAAGCCUACGGGGUCGAGUGGGACAGACACAUUCCAAGAGUAGGGAUGUUGGGCUACCACAGGCACUUAGGCGGCACAAGCUGGACUACCUUUGGUAGGUCCUUAAUUGGAAAUGGAAAUCGAUACGGUGUUGAGAAUGAACAAUCACUACUAGAUAGGCUUAGUAGUUGGAUUACAUUUACAUGCUUUUAGCAUA
rnacentral:lncRNA from 1 species